UACCUGGUUGAUCCUGCCAGUAGUCAUAUGCUUGUCUCAAAGAUUAAGCCAUGCAAGUCUAAGUACGAGCUCUCGUACAGUGAAACUGCGAAUGGCUCAUUAAAUCAGUUAUGGUUCAUUUGAUCGUACAGUUUACUUGGAUAACUGUGGUAAUUCUAGAGCUAAUACAUGCGAGAAGCGCCGACCUCGCGGGAGGCGUGCAUUUAUCAGACCAAAAACCGGCCGCGUCUUCGGGCGCGUUCGCCUUGGUGACUCUGGAUAACUUUGCGGAUCGCACGGUCUAGCACCGGCGACGGAUCAUUCAAGUGUCUGCCCUAUCAACUUUCGUCGGUACGGUAUUUGCCUACCGAGGUUCUUACGGGUGACGGGGAAUCAGGGUUCGAUUCCGGAGAGGGAGCCUGAGAAACGGCUACCACAUCCAAGGAAGGCAGCAGGCGCGCAAAUUCCCAUUCCCGACGCGGGGAGGUAGUGACGAAAAAUAACAAUGCAGGACUCGUUCGAGGCCCUGUAAUUGGAAUGAGUACACUUUAAAAGCUUUAACGAGUAUCCAUUGGAGGGCAAGUCUGGUGCCAGCAGCCGCGGUAAUUCCAGCUCCAAAAGUAUAUAUUUAAGUUGUUGCGGUUAAAAAGCUCGUAGUUGGAUUUUGGGCGCAGGCGGCCGGUCCGUCGCAAGGCGUGUACUGGACGUCCUGGCCUUCCCUCCGGUUCUCCGCCGGUGCUCUUGACUGAGUGUCGGCGGCGGCCGGAACGUUUACUUUGAAAAAAUUAGAGUGUUCAAAGCAGGCUCUCGAGCCUGGAUAAUGGUGCAUGGAAUAAUGGAAUAGGACCUCGGUUCUAUUUUGUUGGUUUUCGGAGCGCGAGGUAAUGAUUAAGAGGGACAGACGGGGGCAUUCGUACUGUGCCGUUAGAGGUGAAAUUCUUGGAUCGGCGCAAGACGAACGACUGCGAAAGCAUUUGCCAAGAAUGUUUUCUUUAAUCAAGAGCGAAAGUCAGAGGUUCGAAGACGAUCAGAUACCGUCCUAGUUCUGACUAUAAACGAUGCCAACUAGCGAUCGGGGGGCGUUACAUUGACGAC
rfam:Ciona savignyi cont_45504, whole genome shotgun sequence.